rnacentral:rRNA from 1 species
GCCUAACACAUGCAAGUCGAACGGUAACAUUUCUAGCUUGCUAGAAGAUGACGAGUGGCGGACGGGUGAGUAAUGCUUGGGAACUUGCCUUUGCGAGGGGGAUAACAGUUGGAAACGACUGCUAAUACCGCAUAAUGUUUUCGGACCAAACGGGGCUUCGGCUCCGGCGCAGAGAGAGGCCCAAGUGAGAUUAGCUAGUUGGUAAGGUAAAGGCUUACCAAGGCGACGAUCUCUAGCUGUUCUGAGAGGAAGAUCAGCCACACUGGGACUGAGACACGGCCCAGACUCCUACGGGAGGCA